rnacentral:rRNA from 1 species
GACAGAGGGUGCAAACGUUGUUCGGAAUUACUGGGCGUAAAGCGUGUGUAGGCGGCUAUGUAAGUCGGAUGUGAAAGCCCCGGGCUCAACUCGGGAAGUGCACUCGAUACUGCGUAGCUAGAGUGCCGGAGAGGUUGGUGGAAUUCUCGGUGUAGAGGUGAAAUUCGUAGAUAUCGAGAGGAGCACCGGUGGCGAAGGCGGCCAACUGGACGAGUACUGACGCUGAGACACGAAAGCGUGGGGAGCAAACAGG